rnacentral:rRNA from 1 species
CCUACGGGAGGCUGCAGUGGGGAAUAUUGCACAAUGGGGGAAACCCUGAUGCAGCGACGCCGCGUGAGUGAAGAAGUAAUUCGUUACGUAAAGCUCUAUCAGCAGGGAAGAAAAACUGACCUUACGGUCAGCAGACGGUACCUGAGUAAGAAGCCCCGGCUAACUACGUGCCAGCAGCCGCGGUAAGACGUAGGGGGCAAGCGUUAUCCGGAUUUACUGGGUGUAAAGGGAGCGUAGAGGGUGCGCGAAGUGUGGAGUGAAAUGCCGCAGCUUAACUGCGGAACUGCUUUGGAAAUUGGCGAACUAGAGUGCGAGAGAGGUAAGCGGAAUUCCUAGUGUAGCGGUGAAAUGCGUAGAUAUUAGGAGGAACACCGGUGGCGAAGGCGGCUUACUGGACCGUAACUGACGUUGAGGCUCGAAAGCGUGGGGAGCAAACAGGAUUAGAUACCCGGGUAGUC